AAGUCGUAACAAGGUUUCCGUAGGUGAACCUGCGGAAGGAUCAUUAUUGAAAUAAACCUGAUGGGUUGUUGCUGGUUCUCCAGGGAGCAUGUGCACACCUUUUCAUCUUUAUAUCUCCACCUGUGCACUUUUUGUAGACCUUUUUGGGUCUAUGUUGCUUCAAUUUACCCCAAUGUAUGUCAAUAGAAUGUUGUGCCUAUAUAAUAAUAUAUACAACUUUCAGCAACGGAUCUCUUGGCUCUCGCAUCGAUGAAGAACGCAGCGAAAUGCGAUAAGUAAUGUGAAUUGCAGAAUUCAGUGAAUCAUCGAAUCUUUGAACGCACCUUGCGCUCCUUGGUAUUCCGAGGAGCAUGCCUGUUUGAGUGUCAUUAAUAUAUAUAUCAACCUUCUCUUGUUGAGUGGUUUGGAUGUGGGGGUUUGCUGGGCCUCUUAAAAAGAGGUUCAGCUCCUCUGAAAUGCAUUAGCAGAACAACCUUGUUCAUUGGUGUGAUAACUAUCUACGCUAUUGAAUGUGAGGGACAGUUCAGCUUUCUAACAGUCCUCGGACAAUUC
rnacentral:rRNA from 1 species